rnacentral:rRNA from 1 species
GUGGAUUAGAUACCCUGGUAGUCCACGCCGUAAACGAUGCUAACUCGUUUUUGGGCUUUAGGGUUCAGAGACUAAGCGAAAGUGAUAAGUUAGCCACCUGGGGAGUACGUUCGCAAGAAUGAAACUCAAAGGAAUUGACGGGGGCCCGCACAAGCGGUGGAUUAUGUGGUUUAAUUCGAUGAUACGCGAGGAACCUUACCAAGGCUUAAAUGGGAAUUGACCGGUUUAGAAAUAGACCUUCCUUCGGGCAAUUUUCAAGGUGCUGCACGGUUGUCGACAACU